rnacentral:lncRNA from 1 species
CACGUGCACAUGCUAAUAAAUGCCUUUCCAAUCCAGUGAUAAAUCCUCAUAUGAUCUCGUAAGAAAAGAUAAAUCAAUCCCCCGUUGAGAUGAAAGCAUAAGGAAACAAAAAAUAAAUAAAUAAAUAAAGCGUCAAGAAACCGAGAUUGGAUCAAAAUCGACAGUUAAAUGGAAAGAGCAAAUGUGUUAGUCUCUUAAUUAUCUGGAAAUGGAUUGUACAGAAGG